rnacentral:lncRNA from 1 species
UCAAGUUUAUUUUUAAUAUUAAAAAAUACCAAAAAAUAGUUUAUUCAUUUCUUGACUUCCAAUCUUCAUCUCACUUCUGUUUUUGAUUGUUUGACCUUGAAUUUCAAUGUUAUUGGUCAACAUAUGAGGAUUGGCAUGUGAUGUUCCAUUUAAUGCAUUUAUAUUUCUUUUACCAUUUUUGUCAUUUCCAUUUCUCUUAUUCAUCUCCUUC